rnacentral:lncRNA from 1 species
AUCAACACACAAGAUGUACAAGAUCUUCCCCUUAAGCUUCCAUCACUACGUUCUAGCGACUUUGACAUGCUUUUCCUGCUGGACAUGAAUCCAAAUGCGUCAGCAACCACAAGCUUAUACCGAGGGACAACACUCCCUUACAAUCCAAGCACGCACACUAGAUGUGAUUCUUUCUUCUUAAAAAGGAUGAUAGCUACGAUCAUGUCGUAGGCUAGAGCAAAAUUUAAGACAUCUUCUCCUUCUUUUUUUAAGUGACAUCUUCUCCUUUUUUUUUGAAGUAACAUCUUGUCCUUCUUGAUUCAAGACAAGACUUAUUCAACAAGACAAAAAUAAAUACGAACACAUUUGAGCCAAAUAUAUAUAAAUUUAUAUGUAGAUGUAUUAGUGAAGCGCGACGUGCCGCCGUACACAAACCUGCUAGUUACCUUCAAGCCUUCUUUGGCUAAUCACCACCACCGAGGGGAUUGGUUGGGAAUUUUACCCCGCCCACCCN